rnacentral:rRNA from 11 species
AACCUUCGGGAGGGCGCUUACCACUUUGUGAUUCAUGACUGGGGUGAAGUCGUAACAAGGUAACCGUAGGGGAACCUGCGGUUGGAUCACCUCCUUA